CCUACGGGCGGCAGCAGUCGAGAAUCAUUCACAAUGGGGGAAACCCUGAUGGGGCGACGCCGCGUGGGGGAAUGAAGGUCUUCGGAUUGUAAACCCCUGUCAUGUGGGAGCAAAUUAAAAAGAUAGUACCACAAGAGGAAGAGACGGCUAACUCUGUGCCAGCAGCCGCGGUAAUACAGAGGGCUCAAGCGUUGUUCGGAAUCACUGGGCGUAAAGCGUGCGUAGGCUGUUUCGUAAGUCGUGUGUGAAAGGCGCGGGCUCAACCCGCGGACGGCACAUGAUACUGCGAGACUAGAGUAAUGGAGGGGGAACCGGAAUUCUCGGUGUAGCAGUGAAAUGCGUAGAUAUCGAGAGGAACACUCGUGGCGAAGGCGGGUUCCUGGACAUUAACUGACGCUGAGGCACGAAUGCCAGGGGAGCGAAAAGGAUUAGAUACCCGGGUAGUC
rnacentral:rRNA from 1 species